rnacentral:rRNA from 1 species
UUUCGCCCUCAAAUCAGGUAGGACUACCCGCUGAACUU